rnacentral:rRNA from 1 species
UACGUAGGGUGCGAGCGUUGUCCGGAAUUAUUGGGCGUAAAGGGCUCGUAGGCGGUUUGUCACGUCGGGAGUGAAAACUCGGGGCUUAACCCCGAGCCUGCUUCCGAUACGGGCAGACUAGAGGUAUGCAGGGGAGAACGGAAUUCCUGGUGUAGCGGUGAAAUGCGCAGAUAUCAGGAAGAACACCCGUGGCGAAGGCGGUUCUCUGGGCCUUACCUGACGCUGAGGAGCGAAAGCGUGGGGAGCGAACAGG